UACGGAGGAUGCAGGCGUUAUCCGGAUUUAUUAGGUUUAAAGGGUGCGCAGGCGGUUCUUUAAGUCAGUGGUGAAAGUUUGCAGCUCAACUGUAAAAUUGCCAUUGAUACUGAAGAACUUGAAUGCGGUAGAGGUAGGCGGAAUGUGUAGUGUAGCGGUGAAAUGCUUAGAUAUUACACAGAACACCGAUUGCGAAGGCAGCUUACUAUGCCGUGAUUGACGCUGAGGCACGAAAGCGUGGGUAGCGAACAGG
rnacentral:rRNA from 1 species